rnacentral:rRNA from 1 species
UGCAAGUCGAGCGGACCGACGGGAGCUUGCUCCCUUAGGUCAGCGGCGGACGGGUGAGUAACACGUGGGUAACCUGCCUGUAAGACUGGGAUAACUCCGGGAAACCGGGGCUAAUACCGGAUGCUUGAUUGAACCGCAUGGUUCAAUCAUAAAAGGCGGCUUCGGCUGCCGUUUACAGAUGGACCCGCGGCGCAUUAGCUAGUUGGUGAGGUAACGGCUCACCAAGGCGACGAUGCGUAGCCGACCUGAGAGGGUGAUCGGCCACACUGGGACUGAGACACGGCCCAGACUCCUACGGGAGGCAGCAGUAGGGAAUCUUCCGCAAUGGACGAAAGUCUGACGGAGCAACGCCGCGUGAGUGAUGAAGGUUUUCGGAUCGUAAAGCUCUGUUGUUAGGGAAGAACAAGUACCGUUCGAAUAGGGCGGUACCUUGACGGUACCUAACCAGAAAGCCACGGCUAACUACGUGCCAGCAGCCGCGGUAAUACGUAGGUGGCAAGCGUUGUCCGGAAUUAUUGGGCGUAAAGCGCGCGCAGGCGGUUUCUUAAGUCUGAUGUGAAAGCCCCCGGCUCAACCGGGGAGGGUCAUUGGAAACUGGGGAACUUGAGUGCAGAAGAGGAGAGUGCAAUUCCACGUGUAGCGGUGAAAUGCGUAGAGAUGUGGAGGAACACCAGUGGCGAAUGCGACUCUCUGGUCUGUAACUGACGCUGAGGCGCGAAAGCGUGGGGAGCGAACAGGAUUAGAUACCCU